AGUGACAACUUCGACGACGCCGUUAAAGAAGACUGCAAUGAAGAUGAUGACACAAGACAUGAAAUGUAUAAUAAACAAAUAGAUGGUUUUGUGGAUUAUGAGAAGAAAGUCUGUGCCGAUCCAAGUACUUCAGGCAGAUGCGCAAGAAUUGCAGAAACACUACAAUGCGUGUUCUCUCUUUUGAAUCAACUGAAGCAAAAGGGAAAAUGCAAACUCGGAGGAAAAGUGAAAAAUGUGGUGCAGGUCUAAUGAUGAGAAAGAAUCCCAUCACUUUUUCAUGUAACCUAUGAAUUUUUUGUUAAUUGUCUUUUUAUUUUACAAAAAUU